rnacentral:rRNA from 1 species
GACGAACGCUGGCGGCGUGCUUAACACAUGCAAGUCGAACGGAAAGGCCCUGCUUUUGUGGGGUGCUCGAGUGGCGAACGGGUGAGUAACACGUGAGUAACCUGCCCUUGACUUUGGGAUAACUUCAGGAAACUGGGGCUAAUAACGGAUAGGAGCUCCUGCUGCAUGGUGGGGGGUGGAAAGUUUCGGCGGUUGGGGAUGGACUCGCGGCUUAUCAGCUUGUUGGUGGGGUAGUGGCUUACCAAGGCUUUGACGGGUAGCCGGCCUGAGAGGGUGACCGGCCACAUUGGGACUGAGAUACGGCCCAGACUCCUACGGGAGGCAGCGGUGGGGAAUAUUGCACAAUGGGCGGAAGCCUGAUGCAGCAACGCCGCGUGCGGGAUGACGGCCUUCGGGUUGUAAACCGCUUUCGCCUGUGACGAAGCGUGAGUGACGGUAAUGGGUAAAGAAGCACCGGCUAACUACGUG